UGUUUACUCCAUUGGUUUGAUGUUCUGUCACUUCCGGUUGACUGUGACUGUUCUCAAUGCGUUAGCGAUACUAAAGUUCUAUAAGAACAUGUUUCAAUAUAGAACAAACGCACACUAAUAUUAAUAAAUAUACUGGCCAAUAUAAUAUAAAGCUUUUUAACCUGCAGGUAAAGUUCGGCAUUUUACACUUAGAAAAGUUGCUAUGUUUUCUCAGCGUUACGACCUACUAUACUAGUAGAGUUUAUGAUUAGUUUAGAUUUCGACUUAGAAGACGCUGCGUAAAAUGUUCCUAAACAUUAAUUUGUUAAACACUUGAAUGAAUGCGGAAAUACCCGAAAAAAUAGAAUCCGUUCAAGAUAAAUAUUUUCUUCUUGUUUGUUGUUUUUU